rnacentral:lncRNA from 1 species
GUGGAUUAAGCCUUCCCUGGGGAAGUGGCUUUGUUUGGUUUUCCCAUCCACUCUGGGCAAGAGGCCUCCCUGCCAGAGAUGCCACAGCCAUUUGGAGCCAAUGAAAGCAACAGAAAGCCCAAGAACCAGCCACGCACCUGCAUGUUGCCGUAAGCAGAGCCAGGAGGCAACAGAGGUUAUGCAGGUUGGAUGGGGGCGGAGGGCUUGGCAGAGCAACCUUCUCUAGAGUGGGAGAAGGAACUGGCCAAGGACUCCAGUCACCACACCUUACCCAGGGUGUGUUACAAGAAGGGCUGACUUCAGUGGAGUAAAGAUGAGGGGGCAUGGGAGAAGAGUACAGAGCCGCUGUUUCGGGUCUCAAGAUGAGAACGGAACUGGGAAGAUGGCAGAGCAACAAGAAGGAAGGAGUCUGGGUCUCAGGAUGUUUAAGAAAAGGAGGAAAUCUCUGUUGUGCUUAGGGGCUCCGUUCCUCGGGGCUUCCCCACCUUAGCACAACCUUUAUCUUCAUUAACCUUGCCUGAGUUCUCCACCCAACCCCAUGCUAAGUUUUUAGAUCUCUGUCUAGGAGUUUUGGUGCUACUAGAAGGACUCAGUUUCCUGACUUUAUGAAAAGUGGAGGAGACCAGUUCUGCCAUCUCCCUCUGUGUGGAAAGACCCAGGUGCAGAGGCUAAGCUUAGAGUCACCAUAAGAAACAUCAGCUUUCCACUGUAAGGAAGAUCACCAUGGGUACCAGAAUCCAGGCACCUGAGGACAAAGAGGCGAGG